AAUUGGCUAACUUGAAAAUCUGGGCACAGUAUCCACUUUCUAGAGUACAAGCUAAAAGUCAGGCCUGCUUAGAAAUGUAAUAUUAGCAUAAUGUCCUAGACUUGCUGCCAGUAUUCAAGGAUCAGUUAAAAUGAGACAAAUGAUCUUCUUGUUCUCAAUAAUCUUUAAUAUCAAAUUUAGGUAUCUCUUGCCAGGAGUUUUCAUGUUCAAUAAGAAUUCACAAAAGCAUUUGGGUAAUGUCUGUAAUUUCUAGUUAUACUGUUAGUUAUAACUUCUGCCUAGGAAUUUCAAAAAAUAAGGAGUUCCUGCUUGCUGCAUGCUUGUCUUUAUUAAACACUCUGAAACCACACAAUGGCCCUGGUAAGCUUUGGUGUAUUAAAGCCAACUUCUAGAUCACUGAAUGGCUUUGAGGAAUUUCUAGGAGAGAUACGAGGUCUAAGAUAUUAGUGUAAAAAGAGCUCAAGUCAGUCUUGGAUCUGGUAUUUGAUUCUGCCACCUGUUCUGGCAAAUUCCUUUGCUUCUCUCUGUGAGUUGGCUUUUCAUCGGUGAAGUGAAGGAUUUAAUCUGAUUCCUUUUUAAAAAUCUACAUUCUGAUUAUGGCUAGGAUUUCCUUAUAAGUUCUUCUUUGUAAAUCCACAAAAUCAGGAUGAAUGAAACUCACUGCCAUGUUAUAUGGACUAUGUGUAGGACCACAAAUCAAAUAUAAGCUGGUAGUGGCACUCAACUGGAAGCAUGUUUAUAUAACUGAAACAUCUAGGGAACUU